rnacentral:rRNA from 1 species
GGGUUGUGAGGUUAAGCGACUAAGCGUACACGGUGGAUGCCCUGGCAGUCAGAGGCGAUGAAGGACGUGCUAAUCUGCGAAAAGCGUCGGUAAGGUGAUAUGAACCGUUAUAACCGGCGAUGUCCGAAUGGGGAAACCCAGUGCAAUUCGUUGCACUAUCGUUAACUGAAUACAUAGGUUAACGAGGCGAACCGGGGGAACUGAAACAUCUAAGUACCCCGAGGAAAAGAAAUCAACCGAGAUUCCCCCAGUAGCGGCGAGCGAACGGGGAGCAGCCCAGAGUCUGAAUCAGCUUGUGUGUUAGUGGAACGGUCUGGAAAGUCCGACGGUACAGGGUGAUAGUCCCGUACACCAAAAUGCACAGGCUGUGAACUCGAAGAGUAGGGCGGGACACGUGGUAUCCUGUCUGAAUAUGGGGGGACCAUCCUCCAAGGCUAAAUACUCCUGACUGACCGAUAGUGAACCAGUACCGUGAGGGAAAGGCGAAAAGAACCCCGGCGAGGGGAGUGAAAAAGAACCUGAAACCGUGUACGUACAAGCAGUGGGAGCACCUUCGGGUGUGACUGCGUACCUUUUGUAUAAUGGGUCAGCGACUUAUAUUCUGUAGCAAGGUUAACCGUAUAGGGGAGCCGCAGGGAAACCGAGUCUUAACUGGGCGUUAAGUUGCAGGGUAUAGACCCGAAACCCGGUGAUCUAGCCAUGGGCAGGUUGAAGGUUGGGUAACACUAACUGGAGGACCGAACCGACUAAUGUUGAAAAAUUAGCGGAUGACUUGUGGCUGGGGGUGAAAGGCCAAUCAAACCGGGAGAUAGCUGGUUCUCCCCGAAAGCUAUUUAGGUAGCGCCUCGUGAACUCAUCUUCGGGGGUAGAGCACUGUUUCGGCUAGGGGGUCAUCCCGACUUACCAACCCGAUGCAAACUACGAAUACCGAAGAAUGUUAUCACGGGAGACACACGGCGGGUGCUAACGUCCGUCGUGAAGAGGGAAACAACCCAGACCGCCAGCUAAGGUCCCAAAGUCAUGGUUAAGUGGGAAACGAUGUGGGAAGGCACAGACAGCCAGGAUGUUGGCUUAGAAGCAGCCAUCAUUUAAAGAAAGCGUAAUAGCUCACUGGUCGAGUCGGCCUGCGCGGAAGAUGUAACGGGGCUAAACCAUGCACCGAAGCUGCGGCAGCGACACUAUGUGUUGUUGGGUAGGGGAGCGUUCUGUAAGCCUGCGAAGGUGUGCUGUGAGGCAUGCUGGAGGUAUCAGAAGUGCGAAUGCUGACAUAAGUAACGAUAAAGCGGGUGAAAAGCCCGCUCGCCGGAAGACCAAGGGUUCCUGUCCAACGUUAAUCGGGGCAGGGUGAGUCGACCCCUAAGGCGAGGCCGAAAGGCGUAGUCGAUGGGAAACAGGUUAAUAUUCCUGUACUUGGUGUUACUGCGAAGGGGGGACGGAGAAGGCUAUGUUAGCCGGGCGACGGUUGUCCCGGUUUAAGCAUGUAGGCUGAUUAUCCAGGCAAAUCCGGAUAAUCAAGGCUGAGGUGUGAUGACGAGGCACUACGGUGCUGAAGUAACAAAUGCCCUGCUUCCAGGAAAAGCCUCUAAGCAUCAGGUAACAUCAAAUCGUACCCCAAACCGACACAGGUGGUCAGGUAGAGAAUACCAAGGCGCUUGAGAGAACUCGGGUGAAGGAACUAGGCAAAAUGGUGCCGUAACUUCGGGAGAAGGCACGCUGGUGUGUAGGUGAAGCCCCUGCGGGUGGAGCUGAGACCAGUCGAAGAUACCAGCUGGCUGCAACUGUUUAUUAAAAACACAGCACUGUGCAAACACGAAAGUGGACGUAUACGGUGUGACGCCUGCCCGGUGCCGGAAGGUUAAUUGAUGGGGUUAUCCGUAAGGAGAAGCUCUUGAUCGAAGCCCCGGUAAACGGCGGCCGUAACUAUAACGGUCCUAAGGUAGCGAAAUUCCUUGUCGGGUAAGUUCCGACCUGCACGAAUGGCGUAAUGAUGGCCAGGCUGUCUCCACCCGAGACUCAGUGAAAUUGAACUCGCUGUGAAGAUGCAGUGUACCCGCGGCAAGACGGAAAGACCCCGUGAACCUUUACUAUAGCUUGACACUGAACAUUGAGCCUUGAUGUGUAGGAUAGGUGGGAGGCUUUGAAGCGUGGACGCCAGUCUGCGUGGAGCCAACCUUGAAAUACCACCCUUUAAUGUUUGAUGUUCUAACGUUGGCCCCUGACCGGGGUUGCGGACAGUGUCUGGUGGGUAGUUUGACUGGGGCGGUCUCCUCCCAAAGCGUAACGGAGGAGCACGAAGGUUAGCUAAUCCUGGUCGGACAUCAGGAGGUUAGUGCAAUGGCAUAAGCUAGCUUGACUGCGAGCGUGACGGCGCGAGCAGGUGCGAAAGCAGGUCAUAGUGAUCCGGUGGUUCUGAAUGGAAGGGCCAUCGCUCAACGGAUAAAAGGUACUCCGGGGAUAACAGGCUGAUACCGCCCAAGAGUUCAUAUCGACGGCGGUGUUUGGCACCUCGAUGUCGGCUCAUCACAUCCUGGGGCUGAAGUAGGUCCCAAGGGUAUGGCUGUUCGCCAUUUAAAGUGGUACGCGAGCUGGGUUUAGAACGUCGUGAGACAGUUCGGUCCCUAUCUGCCGUGGGCGCUGGAGAAUUGAGGGGGGCUGCUCCUAGUACGAGAGGACCGGAGUGGACGCAUCACUGGUGUUCGGGUUGUCAUGCCAAUGGCACUGCCCGGUAGCUAAAUGCGGAAGAGAUAAGUGCUGAAAGCAUCUAAGCACGAAACUUGCCCCGAGAUGAGUUCUCCCUGAGACUUUAAGUCUCCUGAAGGAACGUUGAAGACGACGACGUUGAUAGGCCGGGUGUGUAAGCGCAGCGAUGCGUUGAGCUAACCGGUACUAAUGAACCGUGAGGCUUAACCUUACAACGCCGAAG